UACGUAGGGCGCAAGCGUUAUCCGGAAUUAUUGGGCAUAAAGAGCUCGUAGGCGGCUUGUCACGUCGGGUGUGAAAGCCCGGGGCUUAACCCCGGGUCUGCAUUCGAUACGGGCUAGCUAGAGUGUGGUAGGGGAGAUCGGAAUUCCUGGUGUAGCGGUGAAAUGCGCAGAUAUCAGGAGGAACACCGGUGGCGAAGGCGGAUCUCUGGGCCAUUACUGACGCUGAGACGCGAAAGCGUGGGGAGCGAACAGG
rnacentral:rRNA from 1 species